rnacentral:rRNA from 1 species
UACGUAGGGUGCGAGCGUUGUCCGGAAUUAUUGGGCGUAAAGAGCUCGUAGGCGGUGUGUCACGUCGGCCGUGAAAACCUGCAGCUUAACUGUGGGCGUGCGGUCGAUACGGGCAUCACUGGAGUUCGGCAGGGGAGACUGGAAUUCCUGGUGUAGCGGUGAAAUGCGCAGAUAUCAGGAGGAACACCGGUGGCGAAGGCGGGGUCUCUGGGCCGAUACUGACGCUGGAGGAGCGAAAGCGUGGGGAGCAAACAGG